AUGGACAGUUCUUCAGGACAAACCUGGUCCUGCAUUGUGUUCCUUCCCAGGAUCCAGCUGAGCUUUUCUGUUUCCCCAGGCAUUCCUACAUGGCUAGUACCUCAUUUCCAUAUUUUCAGCUCUCCGGAUUGCAGUAGGAGGAUGACAGAGAGGACAGACAGAGGACAGACAGACUUCCUACAGAUUCACAGCAAAGGGUCAAAGCGCAAUUUGCAGGAAAAAGAAAUCCAACUGGAUAUAAGGAAGGAAAAAUGCACCAUGAGGGUAACUGAACAGAGGAAGAGAAACAGCUAUUUUAGGAAUCUGUGUAAUGAGGUGAAACCACUGAUCAAUAGUUUCAAGGCAGGUGUAUGAAAGCUUGAUCAACCCUCAUUGACACCCUGUCUUGAAUUGCUAUUUGUACUAAAUGGGUAGAAGUGCUGGGUUAAUGGUUGGACUCAAUGAUCUUAGAGGUCCUUUCCAACCUAAGUGAUUCCAUGAUUCUGAACCUGAUCAUAUUAUAACAUAUCUGAUCACCAAGCCAUCAGACAAAAGCCUGACCAAGGAGCUCUGCAGCUUCUUGAAGCCAUCUACAGCUGAAGCAACACUUUAUGUGUGUUUGCUAAACAACAUCUCUAGGUAAUUUUCUCCCUGGUUGCAGAGGACUUUCCCAUCACAGCCUCUCUCCAUGCUGCCUUUGCCCUGUGGUCCAUCAGAGGCCAUCCCAGAGGACAUGACCACAACCUCUGAUGCACGUGGAAAUGGGGAGAGAACAGACAGUCCCCCAAUCCCAACAAAUGAAUGAACACUGAGGGAAUCCCAGAUCUGCAGCUAGAAUGGUUUUCCUGGGAAAAGGGAAGAAUUUCACCCCUGUGCUUUGAGGGAACAGUAUUGGGACUGCUCAGACGUGGAAAAGGCAUCGCAUGGAACUAGAAAAUAUCCAGCUAUCUGCACUGACUUUCUCCCAGCAUGUGAACUCGUGGUGGAUUUGUGUUCAGUAAAGAAAACCAAAACUAAGUUUACCUGCUAAAGCCUGGGAGAGUGGAGAACCACUCUGAAGGCAGAGAGAUUGGGGAUGUAAAAUUCAUGAGCACAUAUUGCUGCACACUCCUCUGACCAACACUUCUCAACCUAUUGCAAAGAUAGAAAGUACUUUGGACCUGAUUAGCCUAAGAGAUCAGAUAAUCAGGAUGCCUUGGCAAGAACAAACAGAUCUUUGAAGACUGCAAGAUGAUUGGAUCAGCCUGGUGACAGGGAAGAAGAUUCAAUCAAGUAGAAGAGAUGUUGCAAAAUGUGUAAGUUUGUUUGAAUGAUGCUUAACCCAAUCAUUAUAGUAAAAAAUUACUAGCCUUCCUAGCAUGGUAUAUAAGCAUACGUAGCCCACAGUAAAAUUGGAUUCUGAUCACCACUCAGUUGUCCCUGUCUGUCCUCAUCGCCGAUAUCAGCUCAGGAUGUGUUUUCCUAGUCUUGCUCCCUGAAGAGCAACAGCAUCUAUUAAUGAUCCUAAAUGGCUGAAGAGACUAGGACAUGUGCUUGUCUCCUAGUGAAUGACAAAACCAGAUGACCCAUGAAUGAAAAAUAAGAUGGUGACAUGCUCUGAGCAACAUUAUUAGAUGAUAAAGAGAUACUGUCAUGGCAGGAUGGAUUGUCCUGCAAUAAGAAAAAUCAGUCCCAGGAGUGAUAGACUUAGGUUGCAGACUCAGGUUUUGAGCAACCCUGAUACGGGCUUAAAUAAAUCACGUCAAGAAAUCA
rnacentral:lncRNA from 1 species